rnacentral:tmRNA from 2 species
GGGGCUGUUUUGGUUUUGACGGUAAUGUAAAUUGGAGUGUAAGCAUGUCGAGCUUUGUGUUUUGGCUCGUAAAUCUCAAUUCUCAAAACAAUAAACGGCGAAAAUAAUUACGCGCUUGCUGCUUAAUCUCACUCAGUGAAUUAAACUUAAUCCUGCGGUCUAGGUACUACAGGACAAGCUGUCUCUCAAAGAGCGAUGUUUAACCGCGCUUGACAUAGAGGCAUCGUAAAUGUUAAACUAGCCUGAUUGGCGCUUCGAUGAUCAGGCGAAAAUAAAGAAGCUAAGGUAUGGUUCGGCUGCUCUUUGCCAGGUCACUCACAAAAAAUAACAAAGAGAUAAGCAUGUAGAAAACAUUUGGGUUUCUUAUUCGGACGCGGGUUCGAGUCCCGCCAGCUCCACUG